rnacentral:rRNA from 1 species
AGCCGCGGUAAUACGUAGGGGGCAAGCGUUGUCCGGAUUCAUUGGGCGUAAAGCGCGCGCAGGCGGCUUCGCAAGUCGGCCGUGAAAUCUCCGGGCUCAACUCGGAGGGGUCGGACGAGACUGCGAGGCUCGAGGUGGGCAGAGGGUAGUGGAAUUCCGGGUGUAGUGGUGGAAUGCGUAGAGAUCCGGAGGAACACCAGUGGCGAAGGCGGCUACCUGGGCCUGGCCUGACGCUGAGGCGCGAAAGCGUGGGGAGCGAUC